UAGGGAAUAUUGGACAAUGGGGGCAACCCUGAUCCAGCCAUGCCGCGUGAGUGAAGAAGGCCCUCGGGUUGUAAAGCUCUUUUGUCCGGAAAGAAAAGCUUCGGGUUAAUACCCCGGGGUUCUGACGGUACCGGAAGAAUAAGCACCGGCUAACUUCGUGCCAGCAGCCGCGGUAAUACGAAGGGUGCAAGCGUUACUCGGAAUUACUGGGCGUAAAGCGUGCGUAGGUGGUUGUUUAAGUCUGAUGUGAAAGCCCUGGGCUCAACCUGGGAAUGGCAUUCGAAACUGGGCAGCUAGAGUGCGGUAGAGGGUAGUGGAAUUCCCGGUGUAGCAGUGAAAUGCGUAGAGAUCGGGAGGAACAUCUGUGGCGAAGGCGACUGCCUGGACCAGCACUGACACUGAGGCACGAAAGCGUGGGGAGCAAACA
rnacentral:rRNA from 1 species